ensembl:misc_RNA Metazoa_SRP Metazoan signal recognition particle RNA
GCUGGGCAAGGUUGUAUACCUGUAAUCCCUGUUACUGGGGGAAGUGGAGACUGGUGGAUUGCUUGAGUUUGGGAGUUCUGAGCUGCAAGAGGGCUAAAGCUGAUUAGGUGUCCACACUAAGUCCAACACCAAUGUGGUAAGCCCUUAGGAGCCCCCUAAGGAGAGGUGAAUUGAUCCAGGGCAGAAAAAGAGAGGUUAAAGCUUCUGUGCCAAUCAGUUUUGGGACUGUGCAUCUGAGUGGCUGCAGCACUUUCAGCCCAGGUAAGAUAGACCUAGUCUCAA